UUUCUUCGGAAUGACGAUUUAGUGACUGAGUGGCGGACGGGUGAGUAACGCGUGGGUAACCUGCCUUAUACAGGGGGAUAACAGUUAGAAAUGACUGCUAAUACCGCAUAAGCGCACAGGAUUGCAUGAUCUGGUGUGAAAAACUCCGGUGGUAUAAGAUGGACCCGCGUCUGAUUAGCUGGUUGGUGAGGUAACGGCCCACCAAGGCGACGAUCAGUAGCCGACCUGAGAGGGUGACCGGCCACAUUGGGACUGAGACACGGCCCAAACUCC
rnacentral:rRNA from 1 species